GGGCGGGGCGGGCUCGGGACCCCGACAGCCGGUCCCUGGAGAUCUGGGGGACCGGGGCGGGCUCAGGGAUGCCUCGCGCCGGCGGAGAGACGGGCCCGGGACGUGGGAAGAGCAGGCUCCGGGAUCCAGCUCGGGCGCUGCUGGGUUCAGCGCCCGAGCUGGGCUUUGCAGGCUGAGCCGCGAGUCACUUGUUUGUGGGGAGAAUUUACACCCGCGACGAGUUGGAGCUUGAAGGCUCCCGCUGGGCUUGGGCUGCAUCGAGCGGGGUCCAGCGCUGCCUGGCGGCUUCACGCGAGCCCUGGGCGCGGCCCUUGCGGAGGUGCCGGUGCCUCCCUCUGCAGAGACCAGGAGGGAGCCUCGGGGCGUUGGGCGAUGUUGCCCAGCUGGGACGAUGCCGGAGUGUGAAGGAGUUUGAGAAGCUGAACCGCAUUGGAGAGGGUACCUACGGCAUUGUGUAUCGG
rnacentral:sRNA from 1 species